ACGGGGCAUUGCCCAGUAACGGCGAGUGAAGCGGCAAAAGCUCAAUUUUGAAAUCCCCCCGGGGAGUUGUAAUUUGAAGACUAGGGGAUUUGGCCCAAACCUGCGCAAGUCCAUUGGAACAUGGCGCCCAAGAGGGUGAGAGCCCCGUCGCGCAGGCCGCAGCCUUGACAUCCCCCCGUCAAAGAGUCGAGUUGUUUGGGAAUGCAGCUCAAAGUGGGUGGUAAAUUCCAUCUAAAGCUAAAUAUUGGCGAGAGACCGAUAGCGAACAAGUACAGUGAUGGAAAGAUGAAAAGCACUUUGAAAAGAGAGUGAAACAGUACGUGAAAUUGUUGAAAGGGAAGGGCUUGCAAGCAGACACGAGUUCGCUCGGGCCAGCAUCAAUUUCGCGAGGUGGACAACACGCCAGGAAUGUGGCAGGCUCCGGCCUGUGUUAUAGCCUGCGCGCCAUACACCUCCGCGAGAUUGAGGCCUGCUCCAAAAGGAUGCUGGCGUAAUGGUUGCAAGUCGCCCGUCUUGAAAMACGGAMMCAAAAA
rnacentral:rRNA from 1 species